UACGUAGGGUGCGAGCGUUAAUCGGAAUUACUGGGCGUAAAGCGUGCGCAGGCGGUUUUGUAAGCCAGAUGUGAAAUCCCCGGGCUUAACCUGGGAAUGGCAUUUGGGACUGCAAGGCUUGAGUACGGCAGAGGAGACUGGAAUUACCGGUGUAGCGGUGAAAUGCGUAGAUAUCGGUAGGAACACCAGUGGCGAAGGCGGCGACCUGGACGGACACUGACGCUGAGACGCGAAAGCGUGGGGAGCAAACAGG
rnacentral:rRNA from 1 species